GAUGAACGCUGGCGGCGUGCCUAAUACAUGCAAGUCGAGCGAACAGACGAUGAGCUUUCUCCUCUGACGUUAGCGGCGGACGGGUGAGUAACACGUGGAUAACCUACCUAUAAGACUGGGAUAACAUCGGGAAACCGGAGCUACUACCGGAUAAUAUAUUGAACCGCAUGGUUCAAUAGUGAAAGACGGUUUUGCUGUCACUUAUAGAUGGAUCCGCGCCGCAUUAGCUAGUUGGUAAGGUAACGGCUUACCAAGGCAACGAUGCGUAGCCGACCUGAGAGGGUGAUCGGCCACACUGGAACUGAGACACGGUCCAGACUCCUACGGGAGGCAGCAGUAGGGAAUCUUCCGCAAUGGGCGAAAGCUUGACGGAGCAACGCCGCGUGAGUGAUGAAGGUCUUCGGAUCGUAAAACUCUGUUAUUAGGGAAGAACAAAUGUGUAAGUAUCUAUGCACGUCUUGACGGUACCUAAUCAGAAAGCCACGGCUAACUUCGUG
rnacentral:rRNA from 1 species